AAGUCGUAACAAGGUUUCCGUAGGUGAACCUGCGGAAGGAUCAUUACUGAAUUGUCAAACGGGUUGUUGCUGGCCCUCAUAGGGGGCAUGUGCACGCUCUGUUUACACAUCCACUCACACCUGUGCACCCUCUGUAGUUCUAUGGUCUGGGGGACCCUGUCUUCCUUCUGUGGUUCUACUUCUUUACACACACACUGUAAUAAAGUUUUAUGGAAUGUACAUCGCGUCUAACGCAAUACAAUACAACUUUCAGCAACGGAUCUCUUGGCUCUCGCAUCGAUGAAGAACGCAGCGAAAUGCGAUAAGUAAUGUGAAUUGCAGAAUUCAGUGAAUCAUCGAAUCUUUGAACGCACCUUGCGCCCCUUGGCUAUUCCGAGGGGCAUGCCUGUUUGAGUAUCAUGAACACAUCAACUCUCAUGGUUUGCCAUGAUGAGUUGGACUCUGGGGGUUUUGCUGGCCUGUGGUCGGCUCCUCUUAAAUUAAUCAGCCUCCCAGUGUUUGGUGGCAUCACGGGUGUGAUAAAUAUCUACGCUCGCUGUUGUCUGCCAGGUAACCUUUGGUAACAAAGGUUUGCUGGAGCUCACAGAUGUCUCUCCUCAGCGAGGACAACUUUUUUAACGUUCGAUCUCAAAUCAGGUAGGACUACCCGCUGAACUUAA
rnacentral:rRNA from 1 species